rnacentral:rRNA from 1 species
CCUACGGGCGGCAGCAGUAGGGAAUAUUGCUCAAUGGGGGAAACCCUGAAGCAGCAACGCCGCGUGGAGGAUGAAGGUCUUCGGAUUGUAAACCCCUGUCAUGUGGGAGCAAAUUAAAAAGAUAGUACCACAAGAGGAAGAGACGGCUAACUCUGUGCCAGCAGCCGCGGUAAUACAGAGGUCUCAAGCGUUGUUCGGAAUCACUGGGCGUAAAGCGUGCGUAGGCUGUUUCGUAAGUCGUGUGUGAAAGGCGCGGGCUCAACCCGCGGACGGCACAUGAUACUGCGAGACUAGAGUAAUGGAGGGGGAACCGGAAUUCUCGGUGUAGCAGUGAAAUGCGUAGAUAUCGAGAGGAACACUCGUGGCGAAGGCGGGUUCCUGGACAUUAACUGACGCUGAUGCUCGAAAGCGCGGGUAUCGAACAGGAUUAGAUACCCCGGUAGUC